AGAGUUUUUCCAUUCGUACGACCCAAGCUGCCCAGGCUGUAGUGGUCGAGGGCCAUGAACCUUGAGGCCUUGCCAGGUCCCACUUCAACCAUUCAAACCCUUGCAGCAAGGGUGAUAGGUAGUGCUCCUUGAGAAGUCUAGUGAUGGUUGGUGGUAUUGCCGCUUUGAAGAGAGGACCCAAGAUUUGAUGAGGGGUGCUCAUGUUACUUUCAAAACAUAUGGUUUGAUCGAACUUCGAUCAAUAAUUUUCUGGCAUUGGUUACAUUCCUUGGAAAGCUUGGAGAUGAAGGAGGCCAUUGUAAGUGGGUUGAAGGUGCGACACGAGAGGAGUUUUCUGGGUUGGGGGUUUGAAGACAAAGAUCUAGAAGAAGCGGAUUCACUGGAGAGCGAUGGCAAGAAAUUUCAAAGAAUUUGAAAGCGUAAAGUACAAAUGAGAGAAUUUCGGUAUUUAUAGAAUUGUGGAAGGAAGGGCAAUCGUUCGAAAUUCAAAAUGAAGGGUAAAAUCGACCGAAAAAUUUGCUAAUCAUUAUGAACAUUCAGAAAAUCCAGUUUAGAAGACCGAGGGUUUCGUGUUUUGGGGGGCGCACGAUUGCGUGUGGCGGUGAGAUUUAUGGUGAAAGACAUUUUGGCGUCUGCACGAUGUUGAAUGGUUCGCGGAUCAAGGUGGCGUGGUUGAGUUCAGCGACAAGGUCAUAAUGGUAAGACGUUCAAGGAGCCGCACGCUUUAAACAUCAUUAUUAGGGAUUAGCCGUGUUAAAGGAUGCCUGAUGCGAAAUAUAUAAGCACACAAAUUAAACCCUCUUUUUAUCAAUUGUAGUAAAGUAUGUAAGUAGGGAUCGUUCUAGGCCAGGGAUUAGGAGGGAUUGCUAAAUCACUUGGAAACUGACUUGAAAACGUAAAAACAAAGUUUAAAACACUAACUAGACUCAAAGAAUGCAAAACUAUACUUUAAAACACUAAAACAAACCAAAAGACUCAAAACAGCCCCUAAACACUCAAAACUACCUUAAACACACAAUCUGGGCAAUUUUGGGACUCUAACACAAACUUGGACGAAUUUUGGUUUUCUAAUGAACUAAAACACUUAAAAACAUAAUCUAAGACAAGUUCUAAUUAAUAUGACUCAAAGAAAUAAGAUGGGGUUAAUUUUGGACGAAAAUAAUUAAAUUAAGACAAGAACAAAGUAAACAAAUUCUUAGACAAAUUUAAG
rnacentral:lncRNA from 1 species